rnacentral:rRNA from 1 species
UACAGAGGGUGCAAGCGUUGUUCGGAAUUAUUGGGCGUAAAGGGCGCGUAGGCGGUGCGGUAAGUCUGCGGUGAAAUCUCCCGGCUCAACUGGGAGGCUGCCGUGGAAACUGCCGUGCUUGAGUGUGGGAGAGGAUAGUGGAAUUCCCAGUGUAGUGGUGAAAUACGUAGAGAUUGGGAAGAACACCAGUGGCGAAGGCGGCUAUCUGGACGGUUUCUGACGCUAAGACGCGAAAGCGUGGGGAGCAAACAGG